GUUUAAAUGACGAUCAUGUUUUCAAAGCUUUUGCAGUAUUGUCUUGGUCUUCUUAAGUAAAUUUCUAGCAGCUGGCAUCCCCAAGGAUCCCUGCUGGUGCUACAUAAAGGAAAGAAGUGACUUCACCAGGCAAGGAAAUGUGGGACCUUCUGGCCAUACAGUGUCUCUGAUGGAGGAGGGGAGUCUCAGGCCAGGCAUACAGGGAGAACACUUCAAGGACUGCAACCACUCAUUGUGGUAUCAUCCUAUUUGCUGGUACUCCCAGCUGUGAGUUGUCUCCAGUGACACAAAGGAAAAUACUGGAAGGUAUGAUUGUCAUUUAACUACAGCUAACUGAUGCUUUAGAGAGGCCAGCAAGGUAACCCAGGCAGCAAAGCCGACCAAUGAGAAUCAUAGUGACACAGAGGACAAAUAAGCCCAAUCUCACAACUCUGCUCCAGCCAACUGCUACCAAGAGAAGAUAAUGAGCUCAAUGUUGCCAGCUUACCAUCUGACUUUUAAAGAUAAGCUGAAAAUCUAGAUUUUUAUAUAAAUGGUCCUGAAUGUUAGGUGUUUGCAACUAACUCAAGAUAAAACAACAAUGGUGUGGACCAAACAAAGCUUUUCUAAAGUCAAGCUCAACCUAUGUGCUAUUAAUCUACAACCUCUGUUUUAGUGUUUAUGAAGUAAUUUUUUUUCUUUACAAUAUACUAUCAAUCUUCACAACAAAAUUAUGGGUUGAACAUUUUUUUAAAGUAUUAAACUCCUGAGUUUCAAGUAGUUUAGUUCUAGAAUUAAAGAAUUUGUUGAAUAAUCUCAUGUUUAUGCUUUCUGUAUGCUUCUAAAUGUCAAAUGUAUUCUAAGUUGCUAUGAUUCUAGACUAAAUAGUUCACUUCUCAGUUCUCCUUGGUUUGAAAAACCCUACCACCAACUUUACCAUUUAUUUAUUCUCUCUGGAUGUCUUUCAUCUAUGCUAUUUUCUUCAGGAGUACAAUGGAAUUAUUAUAAUGCAUGAAGAGUAGAAAAUAAUUUUCUAUUUUAUAUUUAACAUUUUUUCUGCCAAUGUUUAUUGCUUUUCUGACUAUUUUGGCUGUAGCAUCACAUAAUGUCAAUAUUUUCAUAAGAAUCCACAAUUAUUAUUAUC